rnacentral:rRNA from 1 species
AGUGGGUGUAGCGUACCUACUAGCCUACGACGGGUACGGGUUGUGAGAGCAAGAGCCCGGAGAUGGAUUCUGAGACACGAAUCCAGGCCCUACGGGGUGCAGCAGGCGCGAAAACUUUACAAUGCUGGCAACAGCGAUAAGGGAACCUCGAGUGCCAGGUUACAAAUCUGGCUGUCGAGAUGCCUAAAAAGCAUUUCAUAGCAAGGGCCGGGCAAGACCGGUGCCAGCCGCCGCGGUAACACCGGCGGCUCGAGUGGUAACCGUUAUUAUUGGGUCUAAAGGGUCUGUAGCCGGCCGGAUAAGUCUCUUGAGAAAUCUGGCAGCUUAACUGUCAGGCUUUCAGGAGAUACUAUCUGGCUCGAGGCCGGGAGAGGUGAGAGGUACUUCAGGGGUAGGGGUGAAAUCUUGUAAUCCUUGAAGGACCACCAGUGGCGAAGGCGUCUCACCAGAACGGACCUGACGGCAAGGGACGAAAGCUAGGGGCACGAACCGGAUUAGAU